AGGGGGACAACAGUUGGAAACGACUGCUAAUACCGCAUACGAUCUAAUCUCGGCAUCGAGGAUAGAUGAAAGGUGGCCUCUACAUGUAAGCUAUCACUGAAGGAGGGGAUUGCGUCUGAUUAGCUAGUUGGAGGGGUAACGGCCCACCCAGGCGAUGAUCAGUAGCCGGUCUGAGAGGAUGAACGGCCACAUUGGGACUGAGACACGGCCCAG
rnacentral:rRNA from 1 species